UCCGAGGGUACAUCGAUGGACAUCUGG
rnacentral:sRNA from 1 species